GCUGGCAGUUGUUGCUGGCUGCCUACCCCACAGCCAUCCCCUUCCGCGUUCCAUGCUGCUAUGCUCUUUCUUGCUGAAUAGAACCCCCAUUCUGUUCAGGAAUCAAGGACUAUGUGUUCCACAGCAGCCUGAGCCCCAGUCAUAGCCCCCGCCCCAGGGAGGAAUCUUGAUUGGCAAGGCAAGAGGUAGGGAUUGGCAGAUCAAAAGAGCCUUCCAGGACUUGCCUGCAGCCAGAACAUCCUGGGUCAAGACAGGUGGAGGAAGAAGUCGUGCCCAGUCCUUGGGUUUUUUCCAUGUCCCUUCUUGCUUCCAAACCCCGGCUUUGGUACCUGCAGCCUGAACCCACUGGUAUGGCUCAGCUCUGUCCCCACCAAAAUCUCAUCUUGAAUUCUCAUGUGUUGUGGGAAGGACCAGGUAGGAGGUAAUUGAAUCAUGGGGUGAGGUCUUUCUUGUGCUAUUCUUAUGAUAGUAAGUGUCAUAAGAUCUAUAGUUAUUAUAAGGGGGAGUCCCCCUGUACAAGCUCUCUCUUUGCCUGCUGCCAUCCAUGUAAGACAUGACUUGCUCCUCCUUGCCUUCUGCCAUGACUGUGAGGCUCCCCCACCCAUGUGAAACUGUUAGUCCAAUUAAACCUCUUUCUUUGGUAAA